rnacentral:rRNA from 1 species
UACGUAGGGUGCGAGCGUUAAUCGGAAUUAUUGGGCGUAAAGAGCUCGUAGGCGGUUUGUCGCGUCUGCUGUGAAAACCUAAGGCUCAACCUUGGGCUUGCAGUGGGUACGGGCAGACUAGAGUGCGGUAGGGGUGACUGGAAUUCCCGGUGUAGCGGUGAAAUGCGCAGAUAUCGGGAGGAACACCAGUAGCGAAGGCGGCUCGCUGGGCCACACCUGACGCUGAGACGCGAAAGCUAGGGGAGCGAACAGG